rnacentral:rRNA from 1 species
UGGGGAAUAUUGCACAAUGGGCGAAAGCCUGAUGCAGCAACGCCGCGUGAGUGAUGAAGGUCUUCGGAUUGUAAAGCUCUGUCUUUUGGGACGAUAAUGACGGUACCAAAGGAGGAAGCCACGGCUAACUACGUGCCAGCAGCCGCGGUAAUACGUAGGUGGCGAGCGUUGUCCGGAUUUACUGGGCGUAAAGGGUGCGUAGGCGGAUGUUUAAGUGAGAUGUGAAAUACCCGGGCUUAACUUGGGUGCUGCAUUUCAAACUGGGUAUCUAGAGUGCAGGAGAGGAGAAUGGAAUUCCUAGUGUAGCGGUGAAAUGCGUAGAGAUUAGGAAGAACACCAGUGGCGAAGGCGAUUCUCUGGACUGUAACUGACGCUGAGGCACGAAAGCGUGGGUAGCAAACAGGAUUAGAUACCCUGGUAGUCCACGCCGUAAACGAUGAGUACUAGGUGUAGGAGGUAUCGACCCCUUCUGUGCCGCAGUAAAACACAUUAAGUACUCCGCCCGGGAAGUACGAUCGCAAGAUUAAAAACUCU